UUUCUUUCUCUUCUUCUCCCCUCUCCUACUUCAUAUCUCUUCCAUAAAUAUCGAACCCAUCAUCUUCAACAUCUUCAUUGCAUAUAUUUUACAUCUCAAUAUUCUUUCAACUUAGUGGUUAUUGUUUAUGCUAGAAUCGUAACAUUCUCUAUGUAUUUUGUAGGAAAAAUCCCAAGUGGAUGGUAACACUAAGCGUAAAUGGGAGAUGGAAACCAAGUUAUCGAAUGAUGGGAGACAAUAAAACUCAACAAAGAAUAAGGUAAUAAAAUUGGUAGAGCGCCACUUCCCAGGUGCCGCAGCGUUACAUCUCUGUGCGUAAUUUUUUUUUAAGUUUGUUUAGUUUUUUUCUUUUCUUUUCUCUCUCUAUAUAUAUACCCCUCCCCUUUUGUCUUUUUAUUUUUCAAUCUCUCUUUUCCCUAAUCCCUCUGAAACCCUACAUUUGUUUCUCUUCUUAUUCCCGUUCGUACGUCCAAAUCUCUUUUGUAAAUAUCAAAUCCAUCAUCUUCAACACCUUCAUUGCAUAGAUUUCACACCUCAACAUACUUUCAACUUAUUGGGAUUUCUACACAUAGAAGGACAAGUUUUUAAAAUUGUUUUUGGUGUGUGGUGCUAUUGGAUACUAUAUUACACUUGACGAUUAGGUGGAAGUAAGAAAUUUCUUAUGGGUUUUAGUAGAUUGCUGUGGUUUUCACACCUUGAGAUGUUGAUUUUAUGUUUAGGAUUAGGUUUAAGGAAAUUCGAGAUUUGAAUUGUGACAUGAGUGCAAGGUGUUUGUUGAAAAUCCUUAAAGAACUUUAAUUUCCUUGUUGACUUAUGUGUUACUUUUGCCUAUUUAUUGAGAAAAUUGCAGUACUUUGUUAGGGGAUUUAGUGGUCAUUAAUGACUUGAUUUGUUAAGAGACUAGUGUUACUUGGAACUUUUAUCAUAUUUUGUGAAGGUUGUAGUGAUUUGUGACACAUUUUUGGGUUCAAUUGUGGUGGAUUUACUUAAUUGCAUUGUUGCUUUUUGAAGUGCACAAUGCCACAAAAAAUCUUCAACCUCUUCGUCAAGCUCAUUUGAUAGCAGUACAUUUGUGAGUGCGAAAGCCGAAAAUCGAUAUCAUAACAUGGUCGUUCACAAAAAAUUGAAUUAUAGAAUAGCAUUUUACCAAUCUUUAACUUUAUAUGCGGGAAUAGAUUGAGCACAGGAAUUGGGAAUUAUUUAUAAAGCAACCGCAGCUAGGGUUAAUACCAAUGGUUCGUGAAUUUUAUGCAAGUGCUAAGGACCACCAGGAUUUGAAGGUUUAUGUUAGAGGAAAAUGGAUCUGUUUUGACAGAACCUCAAUUAAUCGAUUCUAUAGAUUAGCAGAUAUUGAUAAAGAUGACUUCUUAAAAUGCAUGAAGAGGGGCAAUCAAUCCGAUAGACAUAAUUCGAGAGUUAACCUGACUGGGCACUAAUGUCACCAAUUUUUCAGCUGUAAGCAUGUUUCCUAAAUGCAAAGCUUGGCAUUAUUUUAUAUGUGCUAAACUUUUGUCAGGUAGUAAUAUUAGUGAGGUGACGAAGGGAUGGGCAUUGUUGAACUAUGCUAUUCAGCGGGGCCUUAGUCUUGACGUGGGCAUGGUCAUUUUGACCAACUUCUAACGUGCACUCAACGGAUCUAUAAUUGUCGGUCUGGUAUAUUCUUCACUAAUUUAUACUCUAUGUAUAAAAGGAAGAAUUUAUCCAUCCGCAGUUGAGGAGAUAGUUCAUCCUAACCAUGACUAAGAAGAUCAUUCGGCAAUUCACUAGCAGGCACUUCUUUGCCAAUGUCCCAACACAUGUUACAAAGGCACAACUGACCCGCCCUAAUCGCCCUCCGCUUGUCAGUUUUACGCCCUGAAAUCUUUUUCAUCUUUAUUAUUUUAUUUCUUUAUAAAAAUAGGCUUGAGGUGUUAACAAACUCUUCUUUAUCUAAUUUAAGCGAAAAUAUCACUUUUAUUAAGUGUUGAAAUUUGAAAUUGUGAUCGAUAAUUCGAUAACGAUAAAAUAACAACUUAAGUAAAAUUUUCAUAUUAAAUAUAAUUAUUGACAUACUCCAUUCCAAACUAUUAAUUUAAGAUUUAAUAUAAAAUGUCGAAUACUAGAUCUCUAAAAAUAUUAAAUAAUGUACAUUAACAUAAAGUAUUAUUCAAAUAAAAGUUGACAAUUAUAUUUUCUGAAAACUGUACUUAGCGAUCCCAUAAGCAUCACUCGGUCAAUCUUCCACUCGUCCACACGACCCGUUCUCAUCUGAAAAGUUAUUAUAAAAAUGAGUAUUUUGAAAAACAAUCAGUAAGAAUACGUGCACAUUCUUAUUAACAUGAUAUAAAUACAAAACUGACAUAACAUACUGACAUUUCUUGGAUUUAGAGCUUGCGUAUGUAUAAGACUGAAUCCAUUCGAUUAGAAAAUCAUUUUUCACACUUACUAUUAGUUAAUAAUGAUAGUGAGUGGAUUGGACCAGCUACUGAUCAUUGCAUUGGUAAGCUAUUACCUCACCAACUAGCUAAUCAGAUGCAAGCCCCUCCUCGGACGGAUUCCUCCUUUUCUUAAGAAUUCACAUAUCCCGUAGGAUUUAAAAUAAUUGACCCGAAGGUCCAUCCCGUAGGAUAUAACGUACUUGACCUAACUGUCUAUCUCGAAAGAUUUAACAUAGAAUUCAACCCGAAGGCCUCAUAGUAUUUCAUGCCAAAAUUUAUAUAAACAUAAAAAAAUUAGAAUUUACUAUUUUGCAUGAUGUAUUCUUACCUCAAAUGAUAUAAAAAAUUUUGAAGUAUUCCUUUGAGACAAAAAAAUGGACAGAAUAUUUGUGGGAAAAUAAGAACCAACUUGUGAAAUUUUUAUUGGGGCUGGUAGAUAAAAUAAAACUCUUUUUCAGCAAGUAUAUGUGUUAAUAUGUGAAUAUCAUAUGCAUGGUAAAGGAAAUAGAAUUAUUGCAUACAUUAUAUAUAUACGCCGUGUCUACUUGUAUGCCUAUAAAUCAUGUAAAAUAUCUGUAAAUUUCAAACGUACGAAAAGUUAAGUCUGUAAAUCAAUUGGUCAAUUAAUAUAGUUUUUAUUUCCAAUUAAUCACGUUAGUUUGUGGAAUUCAAAAAUAAUAAUUACUUAUUUAUUAUAUAAUUGAAUGAAUAUGCUCCGUUUCAAAUUUCCUAUGAAAUUGUACUGUGAAGUUUUCUUUCAUUUAUUUAUAUAUUUUUUUAUGUAAAUAUAUUUUUUAUAAUAAAAUAUAGUUUUUAGAAUAUUUUUUCUGUCAAAAUAACUAUGAUAUGAUUAGCCCAAAAUUAUUUCUUCUCGAACCAAUUUAUGUUAUUUUACACAAGCUACAAAAUGAGUAUAAUAUCGAUAUUUUUUUUUUAUCAACUACUAGAAUACUCAAUUAUUCGACCCAAAUAAUUUACGAUAAAUUCUAAAAAGUACACAUAAACAAAAUUAAUCAUUUAAUUAAAAAUAAGUGGCUCACAUUUAUUGCUUCUACUUUUGGACUUUAGUAUGACAAUAAGGCUGACAUGGACUGUUUCAUCUGCUAAAUGACCAACAUUAGAUUUAGCCCAUAUAAAAAUAUAAUUAAAAUCUGAGGUAUUACAUCAGUUUAACAAACUGAUGACAUUAUUGGUCGAAUUGAGGUUAUGCAAUUGCAGCUAUCUCAAAGACAAGAAGAGUUGGAAACGAGGAAUAAAGAGAAACAUGAUGGACUUCAAUAGCAGCUUGAUCAAUUGCAAAUAUCCAUGACCAAUCAAUAUUAGUAGUUGCAGAACUCUAUGCAUACACAAUUUCAAUAUCAGAAUGAGAUUUUCUCGGUAUCGACCUCUGCAUAUCCCCCCACAUGUCAUUUCCUCCAUAGCCGAUGUUCCCAUAUCAUCCAGCCAACUAGUAUCCAUCUCUCCAAGGCAAUGGUGAUGACACCCAUUGAUGUAUUCAAGAAGUCAUAUCUCUCCUUUAUUUUUAUUUUCACGUUGGGGACAAUGUAUGUUUUGAGUUUGGGGAUGAGUCAUUAGGGUUAAUUGAUGUUGUCUUUUGUUUAGUAGUUAUGUUUGUGUAAUGUUAUUUAGUUUUGUGUGAAUUGCGUUGAAAAAGUAAUAAUAAAAAUAAAAUUUUAAUUUUGCAUGCUUGCCUUAGUCGGAUGGUUUUGUCAGCUAUGAUGAAUAUACUUGAGACCAUGUGUUAGUUUGUGGAUUGUGGAAGAUUUAUAUGCUAGAGUUGAAUUUUCUACCUAUCAAUGUGAAGUAGUACAAUAUUUAUGCACUAUAAUUGAGUUUAGUGUCACACAAGAACAUGAAUGUUCAUAUGCAUAGGCUAAAUAGAUAACUUAGAUGCUCGACCUCUUAACCCAUAAUUCAAAACAUCCUUUAACCAUAUACAUAAUAAUUUGGGACAUUCUAACUAGUGAAAGAAAUAAUUUAGGACAAUGGUGAUUCCGUACAUAAGAAAGAGAUUGUGUGGAGUGUUUUUGAUUUUCUACUAACCUUGUAAAUUUUGCUAUUCUUUUAUAGAAAACAGGCAUUGCACUUAUUCAGUUACCCUCACGAUUGCACCUUUUUUACUUAAGUUAAUAAGUCCGUUUGGAUGUCUUGAAACCUGGUACCCUUCGGUAUUCAAAAAUCGAGGAGUUAUCGACCCAAAACUCGCUACAGGGGUCAAGAAGUGAAAAAAAAAUGAUAAAGUCAAAAUUGAACUUAGAAACUAGAUUGUUGAAAUACUAAUAAAUUGAGAGAAUCAUCACAUGAAUAAAUUAUUGACAUCAUCGAUUGAACUAAAUCAAAUUAGAGUAGUGUGAGAAAUUGAUAAGUAAGACUAAACUUUAGAAUUACACUAUGGUUAGAGAAUAGAAGAAAACAAGUUUGGGGAUGUGUGAAGCUCACCAGCGAAUAAAGGAAAUAAUUGAUCAUUGAAGGUUGGAAGUGAACCAAUUAGUGAGUGUAUGGCAUUGCACUUGAUCUUUCACAUGCACACUUGUUUUGCAUUGAAUAAGUGGAAGGUCAGCUCUUGCAUAGCAAUUUUGAAAACGUUCAUGAAUGUGAUAUAAUGUUCUCAAUAGUGAAUCUUUGUCUGUGUUCUUAGUUAUUUUCAUUUUUCUUGUGUUUGCUCGAGGAAUAGCAAACUAUUAAAUUUGGGGUUAUUUGAUGAAUGUGUUUUACUCAAGAGUUAUAUUCCAUUUUUAACUUGAUUGUGAAUUAGAUUUUACGAGUAGUGUUCGUCUUUAAUGUGUUUAUUAGUAUUGUUUUGUAGAAGUAGUGGGAUGAUGAAAAACAAUGAAAGAUAUGAUAAAAAGGCUAUUGGCAAGGAUGGAGAAAACAAGAUAGAAAAAAGGGCAAAAGAGUCUAACCAUGAAGAGAAAGGACUAUUGGCACCACAGCGCCAAAAUUGUAGCACCUACGAGCUACCAUGACAGAGGUGUGGCACUGCGGCACUAUUCUCGUGGCACUGAGGCCACCAAAAAUCGAUGGAGAUAGAGUUGUAGAGCCACGGCGUCUGGCUCAUUUUGAAGCCCAUAAGAAUCCUACAUUCGACACAAAUGUGAGGAGUAUAAAUGUAAGUUUUGACACUUUUGAUGGGAUUCCACACAUUGAGAGAUAGAGAUUAAAGAACGCAAUGCAAGAGAGGAAAAUAUCAAGAAAUUCACGUUUUGAAGCAUUGAUUGGAAGAGGACGAAGAUUUUGGUGCAAGAUUAAUCUCUUUUUCUACAUUUAUAUUUAAAAUUCAGUGAUGUAUUCAAUAAGAACCCCUUGUUUUUCUUUUUCCAUUAUGAGUGUAAUCUAUUUCGAAUCCUUUUUUUUUUUUUUUUAUUCAAGAUUCUUGUUCAUUA
rnacentral:lncRNA from 1 species